AAUAUUGCACAAUGUUCGUAAUCCUGAUGCAGCAACGCCGCGUGAUGGAUUACUGCCUUCUGUUUGUAAACCUCUUUUAGUAGGGAAGAAGCUAAAGCGACGGUACCUCCAGAAAAAGCGCCGGCUAGCUACUUUCCAUCAGCCGCAGUAAUACGUAGGGCGCAAGCGUUAUCCGGAAUUAUUGGGCGUAAAGAGCUCGUAGGCGGUUGGUCACGUCUGCUGUGAAAUCCCGAGGCUCAACCUCGGGCCUGCAGUGGGUACGGGCAGACUAGAGUGCGGUAGGGGAGACUGGAAUUCCUGGUGUAGCGGUGAAAUGCGCAGAUAUCAGGAGGAACACCAAUGGCGAAGGCAGGUCUCUGGGCCGCUACUGACGCUGAGGAGCGAAAGCGUGGGGAGCAAAC
rnacentral:rRNA from 1 species